rnacentral:rRNA from 1 species
UACGUGAAACCGUUCAGGGGUAAACCUGAGAAACCCGAGAGUCUGAAACGGGAGAUUCAACGCGUCUCUGAGUCGUCGACGAACGCCCGGUGAMGAGAGGCCUCGGCCAAUCGCAUCGCAACUAGUCGUGCGGCGAAGAAUGUGUGCACUUCUCCCAAAGUAAGAACGUCGUGAGCCGUUGAGUGCCGGUCUAAGGCCCGAUGGGUAGCCCAGGAGUGCGUUCGCGCAUUCUUGGACCCGCGGCGCCCGGCCUGCGCCCGACGGCAUAACAAAGGCACGGAGUCGCGAUCGCUCGCGUCCGGCUCGUCACAAGCGCGCGCGGUCAGCUGGAAUUCGGACCUGGUGCCGAUUCUGGACCCGUGCGGCUGCUGGUGGCGGCGCUCUCGGACAGUCUCCGCACAUGCCGCUCUACGACGCUUUAGCUAAGGGUUACUUCUCAGGACCCGUCUUGAAACACGGACCAAGGAGUCUAGCAUGUACGCGAGUCAUUGGGAAUUAUUAAACCCACUGGCGGAAUGAAUGUGAAGACCGCUUCGCGCGGCUUUAGGGAGGAUGGGAAUCCAAUUUAGGAGACCCCGCACUCCCGGGGCGUCUCGUACUCAUUGCGAGUUGAGGCGCACCUAGAGCGCACACGCUGGUACCCGAAAGAUGGUGAACUAUGCCUGGUCAGGACGAUAGUCAGGGGAAACCCUGAUGGAGGUCCGUAGCGAUUCUGACGUGCAAAUCGAUCGUCGGAACUGGGUAUAGGGGCGAAAGACUAAUCGAACCAUC